GUGCCUCUUAAAGCUGGCUCGGUGCGCUCAGAGGCUAACACAGAAGGGUAAAGUGAUUCUCCAUAACCCAGAGAGGAGAUCAUACAAACUCCUCUUGGAUCCUGUCUGGAGUCACCCAC